GACGAACGCUGGCGGCGUGCUUAACACAUGCAAGUCGAACGGAAAGGCCCUGCUUUUGUGGGGUGCUCGAGUGGCGAACGGGUGAGUAACACGUGAGUAACCUGCCCUUGACUUUGGGAUAACUUCAGGAAACUUGGGCUAAUACCGGAUAGGAGCUCCUGCUGCAUGGUGGGGGUUGGAAAGGUUCGGCGGUUAGGGAUGGACUCGCGGCUUAUCAGCUUGUUGGUGGGGUAGUGGCUUACCAAGGCUUUGACGGGUAGCCGGCCUGAGAGGGUGACCGGCCACAUUGGGACUGAGAUGCGGCCCAGACUCCUACGGGAGGCAGCAGUGGGGAAUAUUGCACAAUGGGCGGAAGCCUGAUGCAGCCAAGCCGCGUGCGGGAUGACGGCCUUCGGGUUGUAAACCGCUUUCGCCUGUGACGAAGCGUGAGUGACGGUAAUGGGUAAAGAAGCACCGGCUAACUACGUG
rnacentral:rRNA from 1 species